rnacentral:rRNA from 1 species
CACGUAGGGCGCAAGCGUUGUCCGGAAUUAUUGGGCGUAAAGAGCUCGUAGGCGGUCUGUUGCGUCGGCUGUGAAAACCCGGGGCUCAACCCCGGGCCUGCAGUCGAUACGGGCAGACUAGAGUGUGGUAGGGGAGACUGGAAUUCCUGGUGUAGCGGUGAAAUGCGCAGAUAUCAGGAGGAACACCGGUGGCGAAGGCGGGUCUCUGGGCCAUAACUGACGCUGAGGAGCGAAAGCGUGGGGAGCGAACAGG